rnacentral:lncRNA from 1 species
GAAAAGAAAAGAAUUGGAAAAGAAAGAAAAAAAAAUUGUUAUAUACUUCGGCUAGAUCACAAGAGUCAUUCUUUCACUUAGAUAUAUUGGAUUUCAUAUCUAAUGACUAGUCUCUUCUCGUCAUGAUGCUCUUUAGAAGACAGAGACAUGAGGGAGGUGCGUUUGUAGGGUGUUACUAGCUCUCCGUGCUGCUUUUGAGCUUCUGGUGCAUCUCCAUUUACCACAACACCAGCAACCUCUUUGCCGCUGCCUCCGGUUCAAUGGCGGGUCUCUGUGUUUUGGUCAUCGUCCGCUGCCUCUACUUCACCUACGACAUCUUCUUCCCCCCUGCCUCUUCAUAGCCUCUGUUACCUUCUUCUACACCACCCUCUGCCCGACCUCCGCUCCAAGAAGGAAGAGAUGGCUAAGAUUGGGUGCCCAUGCCUCCUCCUCUUCUUCUCCCCCAAUGUCGUGUCUUAGUGCUUCUUUAUGAGAGAGAGACUUGACAUUCAUGGUGAAGAGGAACGUAUGGUGUACGAUUAAUGUUCUUGGAUUCUCUCUCUCUAACAAUGCUUCUUCCUAUCUCUCUUAUCGUUCUUUCAAUUGGCGACGAGUAAACUUUUUCUAUCAUGAAUCUUGGGGUGCCCCUCUGAUCGCUGAAUAAUUCAUUCCACUGCCAUGGAUCUUGGAGUCUCUCUCUGGUUUCCUUUCUUGAAGGACAUAUCUCUACGAUUACAAGCAAAACCCCUCUUUAUAGUUCAAAGAACGCCUCUUUCCUUCUCCCUCCCUCCCUCUCAUCGCAGUUCAAUUUCAUAAAACCCUCAUCCGCCAUCAUUCUUGGAAUACCUCUUUGACAUCACAAAGUAAUUCAUUCAUCUACCAUGGAUCUUGGAGACUCCUCUCUCUCUCUCUUUCUUGGGGGACCCUUCCUGCCAGUUAUUGUCACGACCCCACACUCUGUUUCCCUCCGGCAAGGGUCAGGGGGCAGGGUCGUGACAGUUGUGCUCGAAAAUUCGAAUACCUUUCUCUCUCUCUCUCGUCAUAUCUGAAUGAUGAUGUGUACAUUGCUUUUUCUUCAUAUGCAGUGCAUGGUGAUGUUAUAAUUGAAGAAUAUUUCAAUUUUAAGCCAAUACUGUGAGUUUGAUCACAUCUCUACUUCGAUCGUCCUUGUUGUUUCAAGGAAUGACUUGAGAGAGAGUUUUGAGUUGUAAAGAGUGAG